rnacentral:tRNA from 1 species
GAACCGGUAGCUCAAUGGUAGAGCAGCGGCCUUUUAAGCCGCGGGUUCCGGGUUCGAGUCCCGGCCGGUUCACCA